GGAUAUGAGGGUGAUCUGGCCGCAACCUCUGUCACCCCAUUGGUUGCCUGUGUUGUUUUGGCUGAUCUGGCUGGCUAGGCCAGUGUCCCAUUCCUCCCUCAAUGCUCCAUGAGUGUCCCUCCAGAAGCUGCUCUCUCAGUUGAAGAGGACGACCACCCCCAAUAGAGGAGGACUGCUCCUCAGUCAGUACUCAGUAAGUACUCUCAGUCACUCAGCAGUGCUAGGUUCCCUCUAGGCAGUGAAAACCCAGUGGGAAGGGGCAGAUGUGUUCCAGCCUCUUAUAC
rnacentral:snRNA from 1 species